rnacentral:rRNA from 1 species
UACGGAGGGUGCAAGCGUUAAUCGGAAUUACUGGGCGUAAAGCGUGCGCAGGCGGUUUGUUAAGUCUGUUGUGAAAUCCCCGAGCUCAACUUGGGAAUUGCAAUGGAUACUGGCAGGCUGGAGUAUGGUAGAGGAAGGUGGAAUUCCCGGUGUAGCAGUGAAAUGCGUAGAGAUCGGGAGGAACACCAGUGGCGAAGGCGGCCUUCUGGACCAAUACUGACACUGAGGCACGAAAGCGUGGGGAGCAAACAGG